rnacentral:rRNA from 1 species
GACGAACGCUGGCGGCGUGCUUAACACAUGCCAGUCGAACGGAAAGGCCCUGCUUGCAGGGUACUCGAGUGGCGAACGGGUGAGUAACACGUGGGUGAUCUGCCCUGCACUACGGGAUAAGCCUGGGAAACUGGGUCUAAUACCGGAUAGGAGCCAUUUUUAGUGUGAUGGUUGGAAAGUUUUUUCGGUGUAGGAUGAGCUCGCGGCCUAUCAGCUUGUUGGUGGGGUAAUGGCCUACCAAGGCGGCGACGGGUAGCCGGCCUGAGAGGGUGGACGGCCACAUUGGGACUGAGAUACGGCCCAGACUCCGACGGGAGGCAGCAGUGGGGAAUAUUGCACAAUGGGCGCAAGCCUGAUGCAGCGACGCCGCGUGGGGGAUGACGGCCUUCGGGUUGUAAACUCCUUUCGCUAGGGACGAAGCUUUUUGUGACGGUACCUAGAUAAGAAGCACCGGCUAACUACGUG